AAAGCAAAGGAAGUCACCUUCGUUAGCUUCGAUGCUAGCUUGUUAGCAGCGGUGUUUUCCUUUGUUACGGGACGGACUUCCGUUUUCAAUGUUUGCUCCAGGUUUCUGGAAUUUACUGUCUAGUGACAGUUUCAGCUAGAGACCGCGUCGAGAAAGAGAUACAGCUACUGUGUCGUUUUCUCCGGGAAGCAGCCGGGCUAAAAGUCCAACAUUUCAGCCCGACCUGAAAGUGAGACUGUCACUCUUUCUCUACGUCUCUUUAACUCAAGUUAGCUGGCUAGCAUCAGCCAGCUGAGUUAAACCGCUUAGCAUGUUCCGCUUCUUGAAUGACGCCGAAGACGAUCCCUUCAUGAUGGAUCCGUUUGCUGCCCACAGGCAGCAGAUGAGGACGAUGUUUGGACCAUUCGCCAUGGAUCCGUUCGCUCUCACCCCCCAGAUUCAGCCGCACCGUGUGGCACGCAGACAGGCGGGUCCACUGGCUCCCUUUGGCAUGAUGGGAAUGGGAGGCGGGUUCAUGGAUAUGUUUGGCAUGAUGGGAGAAAUGAUGGGAAACGUGGAAAGAAUGUCCGGAUCGCCAAACUGUCAAACAUUUUCCUCCUCAACAGUGAUCUCGUAUUCGUCCACAGACCCUGGAGCUCCCAAAGUUUAUCAACAGACGAGUCAAACAAGAACAGGCCCCGGAGGGAUCCGUGAGACACGGCAGUCGAUGAGGGACAGCGAGAGCGGCCUGGAGCGCCUCGCCAUCGGCCACCACAUCGGGGAGCGAGCGCACAUAAUGGCGCGCUCACGAAACAGGCGCACCGGAGAUCGAGAGGAAAGGCAAGACUUCAUCAACCUUGAUGAGAGUGACGCAGCAGCGUUUGAUGAGGAGUGGAGGAGGGAGGCAGUACGAUACGUCCCCCCACAUGCCCGUGCGCUGGAGUACGGUCAGGACCCGCGCGGAGGAGGGCAGCAGCUGGCCCUUCCUGCCCCUUCCAGCUCUACAUCCCCCCAUCGACAUGAGUCUCCUCGACAUCGUCAGCAUCCCACCCGUCCGCGUUACGACUGGUGAGAAGAUCGUUUGAAGCUGACUGAGGUUGAAAGGUCCGUGUCAGGAGAUAUUUCCGGAGGUGAUCAAUUGGAUUUAAGUCCAGACUCCUGCGGUUUCUCCUUUGAUUGUUGUCCUUUUGUCUUCAGAGUUGUGCAGGUGUCCCACUUUUCAAGGAAGCAGAUGGAAGGAACUGAGGGAGAGCUUCCCCCGAUGCUGUGAAACACGCCGAAGACGGAGCUGCCCGUCAUUAAUGUUUGAUAUGACUGGACUGUCUAAACAUGUGCAACAUAUUAAACACACACACACACACACACACACACGAUCAACAAAAUAUAACACACUCUCGAUGGCUACAUUUUCAGAUCAACUUCUGUACUGUUACAUAGAGCUAUACAGAUGCCCCUGUGCAAACAUGGGUGAAAAUCCACUCACUUUAUAUAUAAAUAUAUACUCAUUCUCAAAACUUGACAUGUCUUUUACCCGCUGCAGUUCGCUGCUGCAGUAUCCAGUAAUUCUGCUGUACAGUCCAUUUUAUGUUUGUGAGGGCACUAGUGUGUCUGUGAACUGAAUUGUAUACUGUUACCUAAUUAAUCUAACUAAAUAAAAGUUCAUUAAACAUUGUUAGAUAAUUGA